UUUGGUUUUUUCGGGCGCAUUUAUGUGCGCGUCUCCAUUUCAAUUCCAUCGCAUUCCCGCUAUAGCGUUUGACGACGGCUGGGCAGUGGCGUCGUCGCUGCCGUCGCCGUGGGGCCUGUCCAGCCCACGCGGCUGUUGUCGGCAGCGCCGCCGUCACUGGGUCGAUGUUUGCGGGCAGCGUUUGUUUAUUUGUUUGCCGUGUGCGUUGGCUGUUUCGUAUUUCAGCGUUCCGCUUCAGCAGUCGGCCAGUCGGUCGGACUGUCGCCUCGUCGCAUUUUAGUGCUUUGCGUGUACCAGACUUGAACGCAACGCCGCCCGCUGCCUUCACAGCGCGUCGCCCACCACCAAACCCAAACCGAACGCGCGCACACACAAGAAACCCGAACGCACGAACAACGAACGUGCGAGCGGUCGGAUAGCCGACGAGGUUCUUAUUAGAUUUUUAUAGUGGCGGUUAUUGUUGUUGCUCCGAGCUUAGAACGCCAGCAGCGAACGCAAAGGCAAAGGCAAAGGCAAAGGCAACGGCAAUAACAACAACAAUAACAGUAGCAGCAACAACAACAAACGGGCGGGCCGCGCCUUUGCAUUUGACUUUAGCUCGCUUCGCCGUCGCCAACGACGUCGUCGUCUCUCAUUCCGUUUCGUUUUGUUCUUUCGGCUCUCGCAUUAGAACGCUCUGCCACAGCACUGCCGCUGCUGGCGUCGCUGCCACCACUGUUCGUCGACGUCGACGGACUUAUUGGCUUUAAGCGAAUUUCAAAUUCGCCUGAACUUUUAUUCAACGUGUUGGUUUCGUCGCGUGAGCAACUCUGAAACUGAAAACAAGAGAAAAACACAAAAAAUAUAUAAAAUACAAAUCAGACAAAAUAAAUAACAUUUACAAAGAGUCCCCGAAAAAAUAAAAAAAAAAAACAAAACACUGAAUUGAGUUUUUUUUUUCUUUUUUUUCAACGCCCGUACUUUACACCAAUACCAAUUCAAACAACAAUCGUAGCCGUACCCGUACCCGUACCCGUACCCGUACUUGUACCCGUAACCGUACUCGUAACCCCCAUUCGUAUAUCGUGUGUUCCGUUAGUGUUUCAAAAUAAAAUAUUUAAGAGAAUUACAAAUAUACAUAUAUUUUUUUUGUCGAUUUGUUGGUUCUUGUAACGCGCGCGGCGCAGCUUCCAACGGAUACAGAGCUAUAGCACCUGUAUCUACUCCCAAAUAUAUAUAUAUAUAUAUAAACAGAUAUAUAUAUAUGCAUGUAUAUAUAUAUAUAUAGAAAUAUAUCUGCCUGGAUCGCAUAGAUCGUACUAUUUUUUUUGAAGUGUUACAUCCCCCAAGUGCUACCAAAAUGCCUUACAACAGCGUCACGCUUUAGUGUCACAAGUGCAACUUACCGGAGUUACCAGAGCGUCCCUAGGGAGCCGCUAUUGAUAGGAGAGCGUUAGCGAGCAGUGUUGGUUAACAGCCGAAGCAACACAAACAACAGACAAUCAAUCAUUAUCCAACACACGCCAGUUCUGCUUCUUCUGCAACGACAACAACGAAAACAGCAACAACAAGAACAACAACAACAACAAUUUCUUCCGGCUCUUCAGCUGCAGCAAUAACAGCUAAACGAUUGUGCAUUUUAUGAGCGAGCGUGCGAUUCGUGCUGGUCGUCGCUGUCGUCGGUUGAUGUCUCGGAUGUCGCUGAUGUGGAUGUGGAUGUCGACCGGUGCCGGUGGCCAAAACAUUCAGUUGAAUUCAACGCUGUGAGCAACACACGCUGGAAGCGCCGAUGGAACCGCGUCGCGACGCAGCGGCAACGGCAGCAGCGGCAGCGACAACAAUAACAACAACAA